rnacentral:rRNA from 1 species
AUUGAACGCUGGCGGCAGGCCUAACACAUGCAAGUCGAGCGAGCGGCGGACGGGUGAGUAAUGUCUGGGAAACUGCCCGAUGGAGGGGGAUAACUACUGGAAACGGUAGCUAAUACCGCAUACUAUCGGAUGAACCCAUAUGGGAUUAGCUAGUAGGUGGGGUAAAGGCUCACCUAGGCGACGAUCCCUAGCUGGUCUGAGAGGAUGAUCAGCCACACUGGGACGGAGACACGGUCCAGACGCCUACGGGAGGCAGCAGUGGGGAAUAUUGCACAAUGGGCGCAAGCCUGAUGCAGCCAUGCCGCGUGUAUGAAGAAGGCCUUAGGGUUGUAAAGUACUUUCAGCGGGGAGGCGUUACCCGCAGAAGAAGCACCGGCUAACUCCGUGCCAGCAGCCGCGGUAAUUC